UACGUAGGGGGCGAGCGUUGUCCGGAUUUAUUGGGCGUAAAGCGCGCGUAGGCGGCCCGGUAAGUCCGCUGUGAAAGUCAAAGGCUCAACCUUUGAAUGUCAGCGGAUACUGCCGGGCUAGAGUCCGGAAGAGGCGAGUGGAACUCCUGGUGUAGCGGUGGAAUGCGCAGAUAUCAGGAAGAACACCAACGGCGAAGGCAGCUCGCUGGGACGGAACUGACGCUGAGGCGCGAAAGCGUGGGGAGCGAACAGG
rnacentral:rRNA from 1 species